AGUAUCCUCGCCAUGCUAUCUGGUUAUAGGGGGUGACACCUGCCCAGUGCCGGAAGGUUAAGAGGAGAAGUCAGCGCAAGCGAAGCUUUGAAUUGAAGCCCCGGUGAACGGCGGCCGUAACUAUAACGGUCCUAAGGUAGCGAAAUUCCUUGUCAGGUAAAUUCUGACCCGCACGAAAGGUGUAAUGAUCCCUUCGCUGUCUCGGCUGCAGACUCGGUGAAAUUUUAGUACCGGUGAAGAUGCCGGUUACCCGCAGGACU
rnacentral:rRNA from 1 species